UACGUAGGGUGCGAGCGUUGUCCGGAAUUAUUGGGCGUAAAGAGCUCGUAGGCGGUUUGUCACGUCUGCUGUGAAAUCCCGAGGCUCAACCUCGGGCCUGCAGUGGGUACGGGCAGACUGGAGUGCGGUAGGGGAGAAUGGAAUUCCUGGUGUAGCGGUGGAAUGCGCAGAUAUCAGGAGGAACACCGAUGGCGAAGGCAGUUCUCUGGGCCGUUACUGACGCUGAGGAGCGAAAGCGUGGGGAGCGAACAGG
rnacentral:rRNA from 1 species